rnacentral:piRNA from 1 species
UGUGCAACACUUGUCGGUCUUCACUGAUC